rnacentral:rRNA from 1 species
GUCUAUGGCCAUACCACCCUGAACAUGCCCGAUCUCGUCUGAUCUCGGAUGCUAAGCAGGGUUGGGCCUGGUUAGAUGGCAGAACCUGUCUUCU